rnacentral:rRNA from 1 species
GACGGAAGGUGCAAGCGUUGCUCGGAAUCACUGGGCGUAAAGGGUGCGUAGGCGGGUUCUUAAGUCAGAGGUGAAAUCCUGGAGCUCAACUCCAGAACUGCCUUUGAUACUGAGAGUCUUGAGUUCGGGAGAGGUGAGUGGAACUGCGAGUGUAGAGGUGAAAUUCGUAGAUAUUCGCAAGAACACCAGUGGCGAAGGCGGCUCACUGGCCCGAUACUGACGCUGAGGCACGAAAGCGUGGGGGAGCAAACAGGG